GGGACGGGGGAGGGGGAAAACCUGGGGAGAACUAGGCGGCCUCUGAUCAGAAGUUCAGAUAAAGAGGGUCACUGUAAUUUGCUGGCACAGAUUAAAAAUAACCCAGCAGAUGUGGGAGCUAGAAAGCUAUAAAAACAGCCUAGGAAGGUCUCAGAUAACAUUUCUAAAUAUUCCACAGAGAACUCAAGUAUCUACCAGCCUUUGGACAAAGAGGGAAAGAAAGUGAAGGAGGCUUUUGCCCAGUACAUCUGAAAAUGCGGUUUUAGGAGGGAGCGAAAGAAAAGCUCCCAACAUCUAUCAAAUGAAAACAGAUAUAUAGUAACAUGUAACAUGGGUGUUCCACAUGGAAAUCGAUAUGCACACCAAUUUGAUUAUUCCCACUCAAAGAAAAGAAAAAAGAAAGAAAAGGAAAAAGAAAAGGAGGCUCAUCGUUGUGACAUCUGAGUAUCUAAAAAUGAUGGGUUAUCUAAGCCACAAAUUACACGAGAGAUUUGAUUGGAAUCAAAUUAAUUGACAUCACUAUCUAAGAAAUCAGAUUGCUGCAGUUCCCAGUCUGAACACAUGCAAGCAUUUAGUUCAUCACAUGCCGUGUGCAAUUUCCAUAUCAUUGCUAGACUUGCUGUUUUCCCUCACUACUGAUACUAAAAUAAGAGCACAACAAUAUUGGUUUUUGCCAUUUUCUGUUUCAUCGGAGCUCUCCUAUUGCCACCCAUUUGUGAAAAAAAGACAUAGUAGUACUCAUUGGCUUUGUGCAUGAAUUCUCAGUUAUCAUUUGUUAAUUACAAACUUAAUUAAUAAUAGCUUUUAAUAACUUUCUUUAUAUGACCACCCCAUAACAAAUUGUUCUCUGGGUGGCUCACAAAAAAACAAAAACAAAAGAGUA